rnacentral:rRNA from 1 species
UACGGAGGGUGCGAGCGUUGUCCGGAAUCAUUGGGCGUAAAGGGCGCGUAGGCGGCCCUGUCAGUCAGGCGUGAAAGCCCCGGGCUCAACCUGGGAACUGCGCUUGAUACUGCAGGGCUUGAGUUCCGGAGAGGAUGGUGGAAUUCCCAGUGUAGAGGUGAAAUUCGUAGAUAUUGGGAAGAACACCGGUGGCGAAGGCGGCCAUCUGGACGGACACUGACGCUGAGGCGCGAAAGCGUGGGGAGCAAACAGG